rnacentral:rRNA from 1 species
CAAUAGAAGUGUAUGAUCAUGGCUCAUUAUAAAUGCGAGAGAUUGACUUAACACAUGCUGGUCGGAGGGAGUCUAAGAUUCCCCUGGCAGAAAGGUGAGUAAUGGAUCUAUUUACCCUACGGAUCGCCUUUGAAUUCUAGGAUAAUAGAUUCUGAGUAUUAGGUAGAAGGAUUGGUCAAAGCAACCCUUGCCGAUGAUGCUUAGCAACAGCCACAGAAUAGUCUAGUCGAGACUGUUCCCCUUGGCAGCAGUGAGGAAUAUUGGGUAAGGACCUAAAGGUUGCCCCAGUCAAUAGCAGGAAUCAUAGAUUCCUUGUGAGAGAUUACAGGAUGAGUAUCUUUCAUAACGAUCCCGGCCAAACCUGUGCCAGCAGCCGCGGUAACACAGGUGGGAUUGCAUUAUAAGUAAUAAAUAGGCACUAAGUGUAGUAAGAUGGACAAUCAAGUCUAGAGUAUUGAACAAAGAAUAUGAGGAAGAAUCCGUGUAGAGAUUAAAUGUGUAAAAAUGGGUUAGAACAUCAUAGGGCGACAGCUUCAUUCUAAGGAAAUACUGACAUUGAGCUACGAAAGUAAGGUUAUCGAAAUGAAUUAGAUACUCAUGUAGUCCUUACCCUAAAUUCACCAUGUGAGAGUAUUAUCAACAUCCAUGGCGCCUCCAGAGUAUAAUAGGGCAACCUAGAAAUGGAAUUGAUUUGGCGGGUUUCUAUACAAAAGAGCGGAUCAUGCAAUUUAAUUAGACUAUACCCUAUCAAUCUUACCUCUUCCUUUUGUGUUGCAUGGCUGUUGUCAGCAGGUGGAGUGAUCCUUGAUUGAGUAACUUGCGUAAACGUCCAGGACGGCGUUGACAUCAAGCAUUCAUGGCCAAGUGAAGAGGGCUAUCUGCAUGAUACAAUGGUGGGUACAAUUUAAAGUCCACCUGAGUUCGAAUGAAGGGUUGAAACUCACCCUUCUGAAGUUGGAGUUCUUAGUAAUCGUAGGUCAUUACACUACGGUGAAUUCAAAUUAGAAACUGUACAAACUGCCCAUCACGUCCAAUUAGUAAGCUGAAGGUAGCUAUCACUCUAUUCAUUCCAUACUGGUUGCUAUACCGGGAUCCUAUUGAAUGGUACUACCCUGAGUAAACAAUUUGGACGAAGUUGAAACAAGGUCACGGUAGUUGAAACUGUCGUGUAAUUAGACAACAU